rnacentral:piRNA from 1 species
UUCCAAGUUCUCAGGAUUUUGUCGGGCC